rnacentral:rRNA from 1 species
GACGAACGCUGGCGGCGUGCUUAACACAUGCAAGUCGAACGGAAAGGCCCUGCUUUUGUGGGGUGCUCGAGUGGCGAACGGGUGAGUAACACGUGAGUAACCUGCCCUUGACUUUGGGAUAACUUCAGGAAACUGGGGCUAAUACCGGAUAGGAGCUCCUGCUGCAUGGUGGGGGUUGGAAAGUUUCGGCGGUUGGGGAUGGACUCGCGGCUUAUCAGCUUGUUGGUGGGGUAGUGGCUUACCAAGGCUUUGACGGGUAGCCGGCCUGAGAGGGUGACCGGCUCCAUUGGGCCAGGGAUGCGGCCCAGAGGCCAUCGGCCGGCAGCAGUGAGGAACUUACCACACUGCGCGGCGGCCGGAUGCAGGAACGCCGGGUGCGGGAUGACGGUCUUCGGGUGGGAAACAGUUUUCGCCUGUGACGACGCGUGAGGAACGGUAAUGGGCAAAGAAGCACCGCCAAACUCCGG